UACGAGGGGGGCGAGCGUUGUUUGGAAUUAUUGGGCGUAAAGGGUGCGUAGGCGGUUUGGUAAGUCUUGUGUGAAAUCUUCGGGCUCAACUCGAAGUCUGCACGAGAAACUGCCGGGCUCGAGUAUGGGAGAGGUGAGUGGAAUUCCCGGUGUAGCGGUGAAAUGCGUAGAUAUCAGGAGGAAUACCGGUGGCGAAAGCGACUCUCUGGACGGCAACUGACGCUGAGGCACGAAAGCGUGGGGAGCAAACAGG
rnacentral:rRNA from 1 species